rnacentral:lncRNA from 1 species
GUGGGGUGUUUGUCGCAGCGGCCGAGGAGGGAAGACGGCAGUUUGGCGACAUUUCUCGGCCGAAGGGCCAUUUGCUUUUGCGGAGAUGCGGCAUUCCAAAAGAACUCACUGUCCUGAUUGGGAUAGCAGAGAAAGCUGGGGACAUGAAAGCUAUCGUGGAAGUCACAAGCGGAAGAGGAGAUCUCAUAGUAGCACACAAGAGAACAGGCAUUGUAAACCACAUCACCAGUUUAAAGAAUCUGAUUGGUAAAUUAACUCUUGAACUACUAGCAUUUUAGCUCUAAUAGUUUUAAAUGAUUUGUCAUUUGCUUAUAUAGCUUUCAUCUGUCAAAUUGUUUUAUAAUUCAGUCAACAAAUAUUCGUUUAGAAAAUAUUUGAGUACUUAUUUUAGAUAGGCGCUGAGGCUACAGCUGUAAAUAAAACAAAGUUCUUAUCCUUAUGUAUGUCUGUCUGCCUGGGAGUGGUAGGAGACAGUUGAUCAGUAAGUGAAUGUGAAAUGUAUUAAAUAACAUGGUGAGUCCCAACUGCCAGUAACGUGAUUAGGGAGAUGACACACAAAAAGUUAAGUAAUAGUGAUAGAAUGCCCAAUGAGUACCUUUAACUUGUAUGUAGGAGGGAGAUGGGUAUGUUGUAGUGCUCAUUGUUUCAGAAAUAAGGUAGGGUUUUAUAGGGGAGGAGUUAUUCCAACAGAGAAAAGCAGCAUGUAUUAUUAGUCACUUAUACCAUGUCGUACAGGUUAUAUUUGUAGAUGAGGCCAAGGGAUAUGUUUGGGAUUUUUAGAAGCUGGCUUUAUUUAAGAACUAUUCUUUUGCAUAGGUAGUAGCUAGUAAUUUGGGAAAUGGCCUCAAUAAAAACUUGCAACAGCAUGUGUGCUGUUUUAUUGUAUUCUUACCAGUGUACAAUUUGGAGGUAAUAUAUUUAUAUAGAAUUAAAGGAAUCUUAAAGUUCUAAAUGAUUAAAGAAAGGCUAGGUAAGUUUUCACUCUUUCAUUAAUUUCCCUUUUUCGUUUGUUUUGUUGGUUCUGUUUUCUCGUUUUGUGCAGAUGUUCCAUUGGGACUGUUUACCAGAUUGCUUUCUAAAUUAGCCAGCUGGGGUUACUUUAAAAAACAGUAUGUAAUUUCUUUCCUUCUCCACGUUAACAGACUUGUUCUGCCAAACAGCUUAUUUGUAGUCAGUGCAGACAAAUCAUGCUUCAUACGCAUUGUUAUAUAAGGGGAAGGGGGAAGGUUUAUGACAGGAUUUCAGAGACCAGAGAUAAUUAAUAAUUAAUGUACAGUACACUAAAAAAAACCAUCUGUACCCCACUAUUAAUAAAUACAAAAAACCCUAAGGCUUAACGUCAUAGUACUGGUUAUUCAUAGGAUAAUUAUACGUUGUAUAUAUAGAAAGGAAGUGAUAUGAGUGAUGAACAGUUCAUUUGUGCUCAUAGUUAACUACGUAAACAUGAUACUGAGUCCAGUUAACCACCAGGCCAGUGCCUGCUUUGAUAUUUGUACCAGAUGUGUUUGGUGGUCAGCGUUUACCAUGAUCCAGAAUAUUCUAAUUUUUGAAGGUCAAAAACUUUGAGUGUUUUUAUAAAAUAACAAAAAACUGAAAAAUGCAGAAAAGUAUAAAGAUGGUAAUCUCUGUAGGAAAUUAGUCCCCAUUAUUUAGCUGUAAAAUUAUAAUUAAAAAAAAAAUCUUUGUUUCU